GCGCUCGUAGCUCAACUGGAUAGAGCGGCAGACUUCGGAUCUGUAGGUUAUGGGUUCGAUUCCUAUCGGGCGCACCA
rnacentral:tRNA from 1 species